UGGAGAUCCCUUCUUUGGAGUGUUUAGCAAGCCCUGAGCUGUGGGAUGGGUUGUAUGGGUCAGAAAAUACCUUCAGACCCUUCGGAAGAGGGCCAACAAGCUGACAUUACAAGCAGGUAUCCAUCUAGGGUCACCCAGGACAUAAGGGCUGUCACCUGUGUCUCUGCAUUAAAAACUGAGUCAUCCCUUUGUGGAUCUUGUGCAUGGAAGAGGGAAGUAUUUCCUGCAAAACCAGCUUGCUGGCCAAUUAGUUGAAUCAAAGGAGACGCAUAGAAAUGCAGGCCUUAAACGCAGCUCUGCUCCAGGCUUUGGUGGAAUCUGGACAGCCCCAUGCCCUGGAGGGUUGGGGAAUAACAUCUCCUUACCCUCCUCCACCAGGCUGGACUUCAUCUCCUUCAUGUUCAAGAAAUCACCUCCCUGGGGGACAAGCAGCUCUCAAGUUCAGGAGUUUCUCUGUGAAGUGGAGAGUGUCUGAGCUUGGUGUAAAGAUGAAAGAUACUGGUCGUUCACCACCUAAAAUAGUGAUAAAACUGCAUGAAGGGAAGCCCACCCCAGCUGGAGGCAAGCAGCAGUGACUGGGCUGGAAGGAGCCAUGUUCCUUCACCCCUGCACUGAGCUGCAUGGCUGUCCACAACCAGAGCCCUUUCUCUAAUCUGUUUUGAGUGACCCUCCUGGGAAAUCUUGCAUGGCCCAACACAUCCCUUUGUCAAGACAUUUCCCUGGGCACUUCAUUUUCAGUUAAAAGCCCCAUUCCUCUUCAUUGUGUUUUCUUUAUGCCUUGACAUUUCCUCUCCCUCUCUGCACAUGCAUUUCACUUGAUAGCGAGUCAGAGCAACAAUCCCACACAUCACCCAUCCACGCACCUUGCCCUUUCACCCUGCCCAUCUUUCUCUGCUCUGUCUUUAUCUUUUCUGACACAUAAAAACUUCAGACACUUCGCAUACCAUGAGGGUCCAUGAAGUAUUCAGGGUGUCCACCAAGAGGCUGCCCCUAUCCGCCAUGCCCUUAGCAAACCACGCAUGCCCUGCUGCUCUGCUGUGUCACUGUAUGUCAUGUGUGUGCUGUGCUAUCCAGGAUACAUCUUCACCCAGUGACACACGGCACUGUCCCCAUGCACACGCUGUACCUGCACAGCCAGGUUAUGGGGUAAGACCCUUCCUUAAGGGUUGCAGUCACUAUGGAGCGGUUUGUCUCCUGCUCACCUGUCUCAGGCCAGUUCUUGCAGGCUGCUAAGUGGAAGUGACUCCCAGGUUCUCCUGGGGCUGCCUUCCCAUUUAUCUCAAUGAGAGCGGUGACAUCCCAGACUGUGAUGCAUGAGGCAUGCCAUGUUCCCCCACACUGUGACACCUCUGGUUUUUCUGCUUUGCUGCCUCUCUGCGGCACUCUCUC